CUGCUUCAGCAGCACAUGUGCUGAAAUUGGAGUGAUUCAGAGAGGAACAGCAUGGUCCCCGCGCAAGCACAGCCUGAAACUUUGUGAUGUGUUCCACAUUUCU